rnacentral:rRNA from 1 species
UACAGAGGGUGCAAGCGUUAAUCGGAAUUACUGGGCGUAAAGCGUGCGUAGACGGUUAUGUAAGUCGGGUGUGAAAGCCCCGGGCUCAACCUGGGAAUUGCAUUCGAGACUGUGUAGCUAGGGUACGGAAGAGGGAAGCGGAAUUUCAGGUGUAGCGGUGAAAUGCGUAGAUAUCUGAAGGAACACCAGUGGCGAAAGCGGCUUCCUGGUCCAGUACCGACGUUCAGACACGAAAGCGUGGGGAGCAAACAGG